GCGGCUGCGGGCGUACUCCGGGCUGCUCGGUACGCCGGCAACCCGCKAGUUUUGCCCGCGUYGUCAGCAAGUACAGCUACCUGUUUUACGUAACGAACCCGUUUGCUUCCGGUUCUCUGGAGCGUGGGCGCGUAUUGUAAGACGUAGGCUCUCGUGCCCGUCUCGUGGAGUACCCGGUUCCGUUGGUGCGUUCACCCGCUCCGUACGGUCCUUGUGYUCCUAGCGGAACGCAGGUGGGGUGGUGGGCACUCCCGUACCCCGCCUUUACCUGGUUGCUUUUG
rnacentral:misc_RNA from 1 species